rnacentral:rRNA from 1 species
UACAGAGGUCUCAAGCGUUGUUCGGAUUCAUUGGGCGUAAAGGGUGCGUAGGCGGCGCGGAAAGUUGGGUGUGAAAUCCCUCGGCUCAACCGAGGAACUGCGCCCAAAACUACCGUGCUCGAGGAAGAUAGAGGUGAGCGGAACUCACGGUGGAGCGGUGAAAUGCGUUGAUAUCGUGAGGAACACCCGUGGCGAAAGCGGCUCACUGGGUCUUUUCUGACGCUGAUGCACGAAAGCUAGGGGAGCAAACGGG